GACGAGCCACCCAAACGUUAUUCGGAAUUACUGGGCUUAAAGGGUGCGUAGGCGGUGCAGCAAGUCGGGAGUGAAAUACCCCAGCUUAAUUGAGGAAUUGCUUUCGAUACUGCUGUGCUUGAGUGAGACAGAGGUAAGCGGAACUUAGGGUGGAGCGGUGAAAUGCAUUGAUAUCCUAAGGAACACCGGUGGCGAAGGCGGCUUACUGGGUCUCAACUGACGCUGAGGCACGAAAGCUAGGGUAGCAAACGGG
rnacentral:rRNA from 1 species